GGUGUUUUCUUUUCGCGGCGUGGGACGUCGGUUGGCGAGCUUGCGUUCCUGGCGUUUGCAAACGGUGUCGUCGUCCAGCCGUCCUUUUUAAAGCUGUGCGAAGAAUAGGAUCCCAGAACAUUUGGUUGAAGUGACCAUUUAUUCCUGACACGAGCAAGAGCAACAUUCUGAGAAUAAAAGAUGCAAGAAAACGCCAUGGAAAGAAACAAU